rnacentral:rRNA from 1 species
UACGGAGGGGGCGAGCGUUGUCCGAAGUUACUGGGCGUAAAGCGCGCGUAGGCGGGUUGGCAAGUCCGCUGUGAAAGCCUGAGGCUUAACCUCAGCGGGUCGGUGGAUACUGCCAGUCUUGAAGGUGCUAGGGGGAGAUGGAAUUACCGGUGUAGCGGUGAAAUGCGUAGAUAUCGGUAGGAACACCAGUGGCGAAGGCGGUCUCCUGGGGCAUUCUUGACGCUGAUGCGCGAAAGCUGGGGGAGCGAACGGG